rnacentral:rRNA from 1 species
GGUGCCCAUAGCGGAGGGGAAACACCCGUUCCCAUCCCGAACACGGCCGUUAAGCCCUCCAGCGCCGAAGAUACUGCUCUGGCAACGGAGUGGGAAAAUAGGUCGGUGC